rnacentral:rRNA from 1 species
CCUACGGGAGGCAGCAGUGGGGAAUAUUGCACAAUGGGCGCAAGCCUGAUGCAGCCAUGCCGCGUGUGUGAAGAAGGCCUUCGGGUUGUAAAGCACUUUCAGUCGUGAGGAAGGUUUAUGCGUUAAUAGCGUAUAGAUUUGACGUUAGCGACAGAAGAAGCACCGGCUAACUCCGUGCCAGCAGCCGCGGUAAUACGGAGGGUGCAAGCGUUAAUCGGAAUUACUGGGCGUAAAGCGCGCGUAGGUGGCUUGAUAAGCCGGUUGUGAAAGCCCCGGGCUCAACCUGGGAACGGCAUCCGGAACUGUCAAGCUAGAGUGCAGGAGAGGAAGGUAGAAUUCCCGGUGUAGCGGUGAAAUGCGUAGAGAUCGGGAGGAAUACCAGUGGCGAAGGCGGCCUUCUGGACUGACACUGACACUGAGGUGCGAAAGCGUGGGUAGCAAACAGGAUUAGAUACCCUGGUAGUCCACGCCGUAAACGAUGUCGACCAGCCGUUGGGUGCCUAGCGCACUUUGUGGCGAAGUUAACGCGAUAAGUCGACCGCCUGGGGAGUACGGCCGCAAGGUUAAAACUCAAAUGAAUUGACGGA